GAUGAACGCUGGCGGCGUGCCUAAUACAUGCAAGUCGAGCGAACGGACGAGAAGCUUGCUUUUCUGAUGUUAGCGGCGGACGGGUGAGUAACACGUGGAUAACCUACCUAUAAGACUGGGAUAACUUCGGGAAACCGGAGCUAAUACCGGAUAAUAUUUUGAACCGCAUGGUUCAAAAGUGAAAGACGGUCUUGCUGUCACUUAUAGAUGGAUCCGCGCUGCAUUAGCUAGUUGGUAAGGUAACGGCUUACCAAGGCAACGAUGCAUAGCCGACCUGAGAGGGUGAUCGGCCACACUGGAACUGAGACACGGUCCAGACUCCUACGGGAGGCAGCAGUAGGGAAUCUUCCGCAAUGGGCGAAAGCCUGACGGAGCAACGCCGCGUGAGUGAUGAAGGUCUUCGGAACGUAAAACUCUGUUAUUAGGGAAGAACAUAUGUGUAAGUAACUGUGCACAUCUUGACGGUACCUAAUCAGAAAGCCACGGCUAACUACGUG
rnacentral:rRNA from 1 species